rnacentral:lncRNA from 1 species
UACACCGUUAAGAAAAAAAAAACGGGCUGUUACACCUUUACAUUUCAAUCAUCGGGAAACAGAUUUCCUCUUUUACCAGCCUACUAGUAUCCCUGGGGAUCCAUAUGAGGUCUCCUCUACACGUGAACUCUUAACAUUUAUAACAUGAUUCCAGGGCGUCCCCAUACCCCGUCCGGUAUGGGCGCCAAAACCAUGAACCUCAAUACCCUGUCCGGUAUGAGGGUGAAACGGGUCGUCCCUAUACCCCGUCCGGUAUGGGCGCCAAAACACAUAAGGUCUCCAUACCCCGUCCGGUAUGAGAGACCACGUUCCCAGUAGGGUUCCCUACGGACCCAGUCCGUCCACCAUCUCCCAGGAUAUCUAGUUAGGCUGUCCACAUUAUC